rnacentral:rRNA from 1 species
UACGUAGGCAGCAAGCGUUGUUCGGAGUUACUGGGCGUAAAGGGUGCGUAGGCGGUUGUUUAAGUUUGGUGUGAAAUCUCCCGGCUCAACUGGGAGGGUGCGCCGAAUACUGAAUGACUCGAGUGCGGGAGAGGAGAGUGGAAUUCCUGGUGUAGCGGUGAAAUGCGUAGAUAUCAGGAGGAACACCUGUGGCGAAAGCGGCUCACUGGACCACAACUGACGCUGAGGCGCGAAAGCUAGGGGAGCAAACAGG